rnacentral:rRNA from 1 species
GACGAACGCUGGCGGCGUGCUUAACACAUGCAAGUCGAACGAAGUGGCGAACGGGUGAGUAACGCGUAAUCAACCUGCCCUUCAGAGGGGGACAACAGUUGGAAACGACUGCUAAUACCGCAUACUGAAGGAGGGGAUUGCGUCUGAUUAGCUAGUUGGGGGGGUAACGGCCCACCAAGGCGAGGAUCAGUAGCCGGUUUGAGGGGAUGAACUGCCACAUUGGGACGUGGUAACGGCCCAAGCUUCUACGGGAGGCCGACGUGGGGGAUAUUGCAAAAUGGGGGAAAGCCUGAUGCAUCGACGCCGCGGGGGGGGUGAAGGCUUUCGGGUUGUAAAGCUCUUUUAAUCGGGACGCGGUACCGGAAUAGAAAGCCACGGCUAACUACGUGCCAGCAGCCGCGGUAAUAC